AGAUAGGAUUGAUAGGGAGGAUGAGAGGAACGAGUUAUAAAAGUGAAAACAAAAAGCAAAAAAUUGAAACCUAUUUGAGAUUGUUUUCACUUGUUACUCUUUCCUCUCAUCCUCUCUCUGAAUCUCAUCAU
rnacentral:miRNA from 1 species